UCCAUCCGCCACUGAUCUAUCAUCAAAUGGCUUUUGUUUUCUUCUUCCUUUUCUGUACCUUCGGUGUCUUCUCUUCUGUUUCAGCCAUUGCUGGCACUGAUGUGAAUGACCACCAUUGCUUCAUCCGUUUGCCAUCAAUAGGUGCUGGUGUUCGUUCAUCGCUGUUGUGUGUUUGCCAAGAUCCCUUUGUUCUCCCUCGCCCAGCUCGUGUCUGAUGCGAAGUGUUGAGCUUUUACUCUGCUAUCGCUGUUGCUGGAGGCUAAGGAUGGUCAAAAAUCUUCAAUCUUGCAACUCCUCUACUCGUGCAUCACAGCAAAUGUUGCUGUUGUCUCAGAUUCAUUAGUUGACACUGGACCUCCUCUCGAUCAUUAAGGGGCUUACAACUAAGCUGGGUGAAAAGAGUAUAAGAAGGCUGGGAAAGGAAGCGAGAAAGGAUUGGUUUAUUUGGUAGUAGUAUAACGACCUAUAUAUGUAAUGAAUGUAUAUUUGUGUUUUAAGAAUUUUGGUUGCCAACUAGGAUGCAUAUGAGUAUGUGUAUGUAUAUGUGUAGUUUUUGAGUCGUGAUGACUUGCUUAUAUAUUUGAUAUUGCAUCUUAUCAAGUGUAUCACAAUGGUGAAUAUGUGGGUAGGCCUAGAUGUUAUUCAAGCAAGUGUAUGUUAUGUUAUAUAACUUGUUUCACUAGUCAUGAAUACA